GACGUAGGGCGCGAGCGUUGUCCGGAUUUAUUGGGCGUAAAGAGCUCGUAGGCGGCUUGUCGCGUCGACUGUGAAAACCCGCGGCUCAACCGUGUGGCGGGCAGUUGAUACGGGCAGGCUAGAGUUCGGUAGGGGAGACUGGAAUUCCUGGUGUAGCGGUGAAAUGCGCAGAUAUCAGGAGGAACACCGGUGGCGAAGGCGACUACCUGGCCUGUUCUUGACGCUGAGGCGCGAAAGCUAGGGGAGCAAACGGG
rnacentral:rRNA from 1 species